CCUACGGGGGGCUGCAGUGGGGAAUAUUGGACAAUGGGCGAAAGCCUGAUCCAGCCAUGCCGCGUGUGUGAAGAAGGCCUUCGGGUUGUAAAGCACUUUCAGUGGGGAAGAAAGCCUUGGGGCUAAUACCCUCGAGGAAGGACAUCACCCACAGAAGAAGCACCGGCUAACUCCGUGCCAGCAGCCGCGGUAAUACGGAGGGUGCGAGCGUUAAUCGGAAUUACUGGGCGUAAAGCGCGCGUAGGCGGUCUGAUAAGCCGGUUGUGAAAGCCCCGGGCUCAACCUGGGAACGGCAUCCGGAACUGUCAGGCUAGAGUGCAGGAGAGGAAGGUAGAAUUCCCGGUGUAGCGGUGAAAUGCGUAGAGAUCGGGAGGAAUACCAGUGGCGAAGGCGGCCUUCUGGACUGACACUGACGCUGAGGUGCGAAAGCGUGGGUAGCAAACAGGAUUAGAUACCCUUGAGUC
rnacentral:rRNA from 1 species